CCUACGGGUGGCUGCAGUGAGGAAUAUUGGUCAAUGGCCGAGAGGCUGAACCAGCCAAGUCGCGUGAGGGAAGAAUGUCCUAUGGAUUGUAAACCUCUUUUGUCAGGGAGCAAAGUCACCCACGUGUGGGUGUUGGAGAGUACCUGAAGAAAAAGCAUCGGCUAACUCCGUGCCAGCAGCCGCGGUAAUACGGAGGAUGCGAGCGUUAUCCGGAUUUAUUGGGUGUAAAGGGUGCGUAGACGGGAAAACAAGUUAGUUGUGAAAUCCCUCAGCUUAACUGAGGAACUGCAACUAAAACUAUUUUUCUUGAGUGCUGGAGAGGAAAGUGGAAUUCCUAGUGUAGCGGUGAAAUGCGUAGAUAUUAGGAGGAACACCAGUGGCGAAGGCGACUUUCUGGACAGUAACUGACGUUGAGGCACGAAAGUGUGGGGAGCAAACAGGAUUAGAUACCCGGGUAGUC
rnacentral:rRNA from 1 species